AGAGUUUGAUCCUGGCUCAGAUUGAACGCUGGCGGCAGGCCUAACACAUGCAAGUCGGGCGGUAACAGGGGGAAGCUUGCUUCUCUGCUGACGAGCGGCGGACGGGUGAGUAAUGUAUGGGGAUCUGCCUGAUGGCGGGGGAUAACUACUGGAAACGGUAGCUAAUACCGCAUAAUGUCUUCGGACCAAAGCGGGGGACCUCCGGGCCUCGCGCCAUCAGAUGAACCCAUAUGGGAUUAGCUAGUAGGUGAGGUAACGGCUUACCUAGGCGACGAUCCCUAGCUGGUCUGAGAGGAUGAUCAGCCACACUGGGACUGAGACACGGCCCAG
rnacentral:rRNA from 1 species